rnacentral:snoRNA from 1 species
ACUCACCUGUUCCCUUUCCCAUCAGAUCUCGACAUUGGCCUUGGUGGUCGUAAAGGAGGGAGAGCAUGCUGAAGCUGGCCUCAUAGCCUUGUAGUCUGGUAUAAGAUGUGGGCUAGAUUCAAACAGGG